CCUGUUCGAGCGUCAUUAUAACCCUCAAGCCUAGCUUGGUGUUGGAGCCUGCCUCUGGGCAGCUCUUAAAAUCAGUGGCGGUGCGUCUGGCUCUAAGCGUAGUAAUUUUUCUCGCUACAGAGUCCCGGCGGUUGCUUGCCAACAACCCCAAAUUUUCUAUGGUUGACCUCGGAUCAGGUAGGGAUACCCGCUGAACUUAA
rnacentral:misc_RNA from 1 species